UACGUAGGGUGCAAGCGUUAAUCGGAAUUACUGGGCGUAAAGCGUGCGCAGGCGGUUUUGUAAGUCUGUCGUGAAAGCCCCGGGCUCAACCUGGGAAUGGCAAUGGAUACUGGCAGGCUAGAGUGCGGUAGAGGGUAGUGGAAUUCCCGGUGUAGCGGUGAAAUGCGUAGAGAUCGGGAGGAACACCAGUGGCGAAGGCGGCUACCUGGACCAGCACUGACACUGAGGCACGAAAGCGUGGGGAGCAAACAGG
rnacentral:rRNA from 1 species